GCCCAGGCUGGAACACAAUGACACAAUCUUGGCUCACUGCAACCUCUGCCUCCCGGAUUCAAAUGAUUCUCCUGCCUCAGCCUCCUGAAUAGCUGGGAUUACAGGCGCUCGCCACCACACCCAGCUAAUUUUUGUAUUUUUAGUAGAGACAGGGUUUCACCAUGUUGGCCAGGCUGGUCUCCAACUCCUGACCUCGUGAUCCACCCACCUCAGUCUCCCAAAGUGCUGGGAUUACAGGCAUGAGCCACUGCACCCGACCCACAAAUCUAUUAUAAAAAAUUAAAAUUGAUAAAAACCAAGUACCUGCUUUAAACACCUGUGACGCUAAUCAUCUCCACGAGAGCAGUUACUAUCACCAGUAAAAAGCAUACUAUAGUAAAAAGUGAUCUCUUGUGGUUUUCACGUGUCUUUCAUUGUGUUUAGCGCAACGCUGUAAAUCUUGAAUAACACCAUGGCACCCACACGGAGUGCCUCUAGUAAUGGUGGAAGUGCUCCCGAGAAGCAAAGUCAAGUCAUGACAUUACAAGAACAAGUUGAAUUGCAUGAUAUGUACCAUGGAUUGAGGUCUGCAGCUGCAGUUGCCCACCAUUUCAGACAGACGAUUCAUCUUAAAAAGACAACUGAAACUUACAGUAUCAGUAAGCAGAGUACGGUACUGUAAAUGUAUUUUCAUUACGAUUUUCUUAAUAUUUUCUUUUCUCUGGCUUGCUUUAUUGUAAGAAUACAGUAUAUAAUACAUAUAACAUACAAAAUAUAUUAUCAGUAAGGCUUCUGGUCAACAGUAGCCUAUUAGUAAAGUUUUUGGGGAGUCAAAAUGUAUAUGUGGGUUAGUCAGAAUGCUUAACUGACAUUGUUCAAAAGUCACAUUGUAUUUGCUUCUCUCUCUGAAUACACAUACACACACACACAUAUAUUUACAUUUACAUAUAUAUAAACAUAUAUAUAACACAUAUAUAUGAACUAUUUGGGAAUUUGUUGCAGACAUCAAGACACUUCUCCUGUAAAUACUUUUGUCUGUAUGUCCUAAGAACAGUCAUUCUCCUUCAUAACUACAUAAAAUUAUUGCACCCAGGAAACUGAUAUAUUAUCUAAUAUUGAGUUCAUAUUCAAAUUUAUCCAACUUUUGCAAUAAUGUCUCUUAUAAUUGUGUUUUCCUCCUAAACCAAGACCCAAACCAAGAUCCAGUCCAGAAUCACACCAUGCAUGUAAGUUGUAGUUUCUUGACUCUUCUUUGAUCUGCAGACUGCUGCCCUACCACUUUGUUCUUUCACAAUAUUGCCAACUUUUGGCUGGGCGCGGUGGCUCACGCCUGUAAUCCCAGCACUUUGGGAGGCUGAGGCGGGAUCACUUGAGGUCAGGAGUUUGAGACCACCCUGGCCAACAUAGUGAAACCCUGGCUCUACUAAAAAUCCAAAAAUUAGCUGGGUAUGGUGGCACGUGCCUGUAAUCCCAGAUACUUCGGAAGCUGAGGCAGGAGAAUUGCUUGAACCGGGGAGGCAGAGGUUGCAGUGAGCCGAGAUCGCACCACUGCACUUCAGCCUGGGAGACAGAGUGAGACUCUAUCUCAAAAAAAAAAAAAAAAGAUAUUGCCAUCUUUUAAGAACUCAAGUCAAUUGCUUUGCAGAAUGUUCCUCAAUUUUUAUUUGUCUGAUUGUUUCUUCAUUAAUCAGGUUGAGCCUAUUAGAAAUACUACCCAGAUGAUGUAUGUUCUUCCUGUUCCUCACACCAACCAGGAGGCACACAGUCUCAGUUUGUCCUAUUACUGGAAAUGCUAAGUCUGACUUUUGGCUAAGGCAAUGUCCAGCAAAUGUCUCCAUUGCCUGAAAAAUUUCCCCUUUAUAAUUAAUAAGUAAUCCAGGAGGUGCUACUUUAAGACUGUGUGAAUAACCUAUUCCCAGUCUUUCACCUAAUAGUUUUAGCUUCCACUGGUGAUUCUUGGCUGAAUCAAUUAUUACCACGAUUGCUGCAAAAUGGUGGAUUUCCAAUUUUAUAAUUCCUAUAUUUAUUGGUUGUCAUUCUACUGUUUUGAAAAAGCAUCUUUACUUCUCUCUCCUUUUAUAUUAAUAUUAGUGUAGUAGUUGUGGUAAUAUGAACCCAUGGAUUCUUUUUAAUUGAAUGUUUUAAAAUAAAUAUUUGUCAAAUUAUACAAAAUUCAACCAACGGUAGCCCCUUCAAACUUAUUCCUGUGGCCUUUUGACAUUCCUUGGGUGCUUCUUUGUUUUCUGUUACAGGCCUGAGGUGUCAGCAGGAAAGACGUACUAGUGGCCCUUGAAGCCCUGUUACCUCGGGCCUCUAGGACUUUCGAUAGGCCGCCUCCCUUCUCUUAAGAGCCCACAGGUUGGACCUCCAGGUUCUUCCCUGGGUGCUCCCGGAAGGACGCUGCUUCGGGCUCCUCCCGGGGGAACUCCAUUCUAGGCGCCCGGCUCCCGGCUCCCCCGCCCGCCCAACCCCGGAGCGCUCCAUUCUCCGUGCCGGGCUGCAAACUCCGCCUCCGGUCGCUCUGGCCGACGGCCUCCACGGCGGCAGGGGGCGAUCUCUCGGCAAGACUUUCCGCCGGGGUCCCAGCCCGGCAGGAGCUUCCGGAGAGAUGGCGGGCGACGUCCGUACCUCUCCGUCUUUCCCUCCUGGGCUGGUGCCGUGGCUACGCCCCGGCCGCUCCACACACCUACCCUGGGGGAACGUGUGCCUGCGCCGCUGGAGUCGCGAAUGGCCGGUUAUUCACACGUUCAAGUACCCAAGGCAGGCGGCCCUGCAGGCGUCGGCGCGGGUUCCUCCGGCCAUCUUGUUGAGGAGGGACCGGAAGGAGGAGCGGCUGAGGAGCCCAAGGAGCGGGGCGACGGCCACUAGAGCUCAGGAGGCAAGGGCGUGGCCGAGUAGGGACCCGCUUCCCUGCCUGCACCCAGAACUCUGGGAUCAGUUUGACAACUUAGAAAAUCGAUAGUCUUGAGAAAUUCAUCACAUCUGCCAAGGAAAGGACUGAGAUUGAACUCAGCUAUACAAAACAACUCAGGAAUCUUUUAAAGAAAUGCCAACCUAAAAGGAACUGGAAGGAGAAAGAAUACAUUACGUAAAACUAUCCUUCCCUCCCUGUGAACAAAAUGAGUGAUCACGCUAGGCAGCAUUAAGUUAUCUUCUUUGAGGUCUUGAACUUUCAGAUCACCGUGGAGUUACAAGGGCAUGUUCAAAACCAAAAGCAGGAGAGGAAAUCUCACUUUCAUGAUGCCCAGAAGGCACAACCACCGACAGAGACUUGAUGGAAGCAACUUGAGGCAAGUAAAAGACAAUUGAGAUUAUAAAAAGGCUGCUGAGCACAUCAGUAUUUUGAGAAAAUGCCAUGUUUUAAAAACACGUUUUUAAAAGUCGAUGUUGAAAAAGGCACACCACCAAGCUGCGAAAACAUCACCAAUGGCAGAAGACAGCAGACUACUCAAUGAGAAUUGAAUUACUCAUCAAUUCAAGAAAUUUGACACUGAGCUGCAGGAAUUUUACCAUCCUAGUAUUUCCAACAACUUCCAGAAAAUACAAGAGAUAGAGGGAAAGAGGAUAGUGAGAAUGAGAGAAUCAGUGAAGAGGUAUGUAGCGAUUGGGCAACAGGUGAUAGCAAUCAAUAGGAGAUGCUUGGAGAGAAUAGUAAAGGCAACUGAAUCAAUGAUCAGAAAAAUGUCACAGCUGGUAAUAAAAACUUUCAAGUCAGAGUGUGAGCCUCCUGGAGACAUCUGAGGACUACACUCUGCCAAUAAGGUGCUUGAUAAUAGUCUUUCAGAUUUCUGAGGAGAAGGCAAACCAGGGUCAGUUGUGGUGGCAAAUUGAAAGGAAACUUUUGGCUGUUCAUAAAAAUGUAUAAAUAAAGCUCCAAAGCAGCAAAAGGAACUGAUUGGUUUAAUGAGCUCAUUAUCAAACCCAAUACUGGCUGCUUCAAAAGUCUAUAAUGUAGGCUGGGCACAGUGGCUCACACCAGUAAUCAUCCCAGCAUAUUAGGAGGCUGAGGCAGGUGGAUCAGUCGAGGUCAGGAGUUUCAGACCAGCCUGGACAACAUGGUGAAACCCCAUCUCUACCAAAAAUACAAAAAUUAGCCAGAUGUGGUGGUGCACACCUGUAAUCCCAGCUACUUGGGAGGCUGAGAUGGGAGAAUCGCUUGGACCUGGGAGGUGGAGGUUGCAGUAAGCUGAAAUCACGCCACUGCACUCCAACCUGGGUGACAGAGUGAGACUCCAUCUCAAAGAAAAAAGUCUGUAGUGUAAGGGGUGUAACCCCAGAGGAUGUUGGCAGUCUUCCACCUCGACUGAAAAGGAAAAAACUACGAGAGAAAGUCAAUGAAAUAAAUACAGAUGGAGAUGGAUCAAAGAAAUGGCAUAACAAAAAUGAAAAACAUGUACGAAAGGAAUCUUCAAAUGGGAGAUACAGCCAGUUUGAGUCACAAAUUAACAAAAUUCAGACAAAAAUAUAGAAAAACAAGAGGCCUAGAAAUUUGAAGUCUAGCUGCCUGAGGUUGAAGGCAGGCUCACACAAUCAAGUGAACAGGCCUGACAACAGAGUGGAAUGUACAAAAACCCAAUCCAAAAUCCCAGAGAGGUUUGCACAAGACUGGAAGGACUCAGAAGGCAGUUACAUAGAGGAGCCAGUCAAGAGAGUGGGGGACUUGGAAAACCCUCUACAUGUUUGAAGUUCAGAAUGAAGGAAUCAUUUCAAUAGUUGAAGCAAAAAUAUUGUAUAUUAUAGAGGAAAAUGAAGGUGCUGCGUGAAUCUGCUUUUGGAAAAAUGAAGAUGAAAAGAGUUAAGUCCCUACUUUGUCAACAUUGAUUUGGACUAAAAUGCCAAAGGUGCUAACAUGUCGAAUUGCUUGAAUUCAGGCGGCAAAGAUGGCAGUGAGCCAAGAUCGCACCACUCCACUCCAGCCUGAGCGACGGAGCCAGACUCUGUCUCAAUGAAUAAAUAAAUAGGCCACACGCGGUGGCUCACGCCUGUAAUCCCAGCACUUUGGGAGGCCGAGGCGGGCGGAUCACGAGUUCAGGAGAUCUAAACCAUCCUGGCUAACACGGUGAAACCCUGUCUCUACUAAAAAUACAAAAAAUUGGACCCGGCCUGCAGGCGGAACCCACCAAGAAACAUGCCAGCCAGGGCAGGGGCGUGCAGGAGGGAUUUGGUAACCCGAGAGAGGAGUGGGAAAGCAGGAAAGGCUGGAGUGCAGUGGCGUGAUCUCAGCUCGCUACAACCUCCACCUCCCAGCCGCCUGCCUUGGCCUCCCAAAGUGCCGAGAUUGCAGCCUCUGCCCGGCCGCCACCCCGUCUGGGAAGUGAGGAGCGUUCCUGCCUGGCCGCCCAUCGUCUGGGAUGUGAGGAGCCCUUCUGACCGGCUGCCCAGUCUGGGAAGUGAGGAGCGCCUCUUCCCGGCCGCCCCGUCUAGGAAGUGAGGAGUGUCUCUGCCCGGCCGCCCAUCGUCUGAGAUGUGGGGAGCGCCUCUGCCCCGCCGCCCCGUCUGGGAUGUGAGGAGCGCCUCUGCCAGGCCGCGACCCUGUCUGGGAACUGAGGAGUGUCUCUGCCCGACCGCCACCCCAUCUGGGAGGUGAGGAGCGUCUCUGCCUGGCCUCCCCGUCUGAGAAGUGAGGAGCCCCUCUGCCCGGCAGCCGCCCUGUCUGGGAAGUGAGGAGCCCCUCCGCCCGGCAGCCGCCCCAUCUGCAAAGUGAGGAGCCCCUCCGCCCAGCAGCUGCCCCAUCCAGGAGGUGGGGGGCAGCCCCCGCCCAGCCAGCCACCCCGUCCGGGAGGUGGGGGGCAGCCCCCGCCAGCCGCCCCAUCUGGGAGGGAGGUGGGGGGCAGCCCCCGCCCAGCCAGCCGCCCCGUCCGGGAGGGAGGUGGGGGGCACCUCUGCCCGGCCACUGCCCCGUCUGGGAGGUGGGGGGCGCCUCUGCCCAGCCGCCACCCCAUCUGGGAGGUGUACCCAACAGCUCAUUGAGAACUGGCCAUGAUGACGAUGGAGGUUUUGUUGAAUAGAAAAGGGGGAAAUGUGGGGAAAAGAGAUCAGAUUGUUACUUUGUCGGUGUAGAAAGUAGACAUGGGAGACUCCAUUUUGUUCUGUACUAAGAAAAAUUCUUCUGCCUUGGGAUGCUGUUAAUCUGUAACCUUACCCCCAACCCCGUGCUCUCUGAAACAUGUGCUAUGUCCACUCAGGGUUAAAUGGAUUAAGGGCGGUGCAAGAUGUGCUUUGUUAAACAGAUGCUUGAAGGCAGCAUGCUCGUUAAGAGUCAUCACCACUCCCUCAUCUCAAGUACCCAGGGACACAAACACUGCAGAAGGCCACAGGGUCCUCUGUCUAGGAAAACCAGAGACCCUUGUUCACAUGUUUAUCUGCUGACCUUCCCUCCACUAUUGUCCUAUGACCCUCCCAAAUCCCCCUCUCCGAGAAACACCCAAGAAUGAUCAAUAAAUACUAAAAAAAAAAAGAAAAAGGUUAAAAACUUAAAAAAAAAAAAAAAAAAGGUGCUAACAUGUAUAUUUAAUACCACUCGGAAUUUUUUUUUUUUUUUUUUUUUGAGAUGGAGUCUCACUCUGUCACCCAGGCUGGGGUGCAAUGGUGCAAUCUCAGCUCACUGCAUCCUCUGCCUCCUGGGUUCAAGUGAUUCUCCUCCCUCAGCCUCCUGAGUAGCUGGGAUUACAGGUGUCUGCCACCUGCAGAGACAGGGUUUUACUAUGUUGGCCAGGCUGUUCUCGAACUCCUGACCUCAGGUGAUCUGCCUGCCUCGGCCUCCCAAAGUGCUGGGAUUACAGGCGUGAGCCACUGCACCUGGCCUCACUUGGAUUAUUUUUUAAUUGUGGCGCUGUUUCUCCCUACAACAUGACUCUUACAGAUAGCUUCAAAAGCCUGGCUGAAUGGAUAACACCAUGGUACAAUACACGUUUUCAGACAGCCACACAGUAGACUUUUAUGCAUCAUACACUUGAGUUUUCCUUGGCUAGUUUUGACUAUAAUCAACUUUUUCAUGCUGAGAUGAAGCUUUACAUGGAAAGCUGCUAACUGCCAAUUUACAACUGUGUCAUUUGAAAUUCCAUAAACAUUUCUUCUUUUGGCAGCAUUUAUAAAUAACAAAAAAGUUGUAUUCUAGCUUCUAACCAUCCUUUGUGAAUAAGAAAGUGUGGCAUUGUGGAGGUACAGAAGACUUCAGCUCUCAUAUAUAGUACCUGCCAUAAAUUAAAGUAUGCUAAAAUUUUCUUUCUUUCUUUUUUUUUUUUUUAACUUUAUAGAGAUGAGGUCUCACUGUGUUGCCCAGGCUGGUCUCAAACCCCUGGCCUCAAGCAAUCCUCUUGCCUCAGCCCCCUAAAGUGUUGGGAUUACAGGCAUGAGCCACCAUGCCCAGCUGAAUGUUAUACUUUGUAGCUCAGUAAAUUGAACUAUGCUAGUUUGUUAAAUUUUACCAUUAUUCACUUAGAGAAAAUCACAAAAUUUAAAAUCUCAAUUUUCUUUGAGGCAAGGGUCUUGCUAUAUUGUCCAGGCUGGUCUUGAACUUGUGGCUCAGGUGAUCCAACCACCUCAGCCUCUGAGUAGCUGGGAUUCUCACCCUUUUUGAGUACAGAAGUAAAUAAGUACUUGCACUAAAAUUUUGUAUUUUUUCUUAAACAUGGUUAAGAUUAUUGUUUUCAUCAUAAUUAACCUAUCAUGUCUAUUUGAUCCCAUAGAGCCAAUUGAAAUCUGGAGAAGUUUGGUCAGUUAACCUGUUGGUUUUUAUAUAUGGCACCAACUGAUCUCUACCAGAUUGACACAGUAGAUCAGCUGUUUUAAUGCUGAAAAGAGAAGCUUAUAUAAAUACAGUGCACAUCUAUGAAUGCUUCUCACUUCUGUAGUUGUGUUUCAGGCAGAGGCUUUUUGGCAUAGGACCUGUAUUCAGCUCACACUUCCCUAGGCUGGCUAUGAGUAGAAUGCCUCGUGGCAGUAGCUACACUCAUACAUAGGCAUUGAUCUUAGAUCUGUGUAGAGUUUUAAAUCAUUGGCAUCUUUUAGGCCUAAAUUUUAUAUUUGCUGGAUUUUUUUUUUUUUUUUUUGAGAUGGAGUCUUGCUCUGUCACCCAGGCUGGAGUGCAGUGGCGCAUCUCUGCUCACUGCAAGCUCCGCCUCCCGGGUUCACACCAUUCUCCUGCCUCAGCGUCCCACGUAGCUGGGACUACAGGCACCCGCCACCACUCCCGGCUAAUUUUUUGUAUUUUUUCAGUAGAGACGGGGUUUCAUCGUGUUAGCCAGCAUGGUCUCGAUCUCCUGACCUCAUGAUCCACCUGCCUCGGCCUCCCAAAGUGCUGGGAUUACAGGCGUGAGCCACCACACCCAGCCUGGAAUUUUUUUAAAGCAGUAAAUGUAAACGCUAACUUUAGAAAAUAUUAAUAAUAUGAUUAAUUUUAGCCAGAAUAAAAUAAUUUGCCAUCUUUAUAGAAAUCUGGCCACGUAGGAAUUAGCAUUCUUAAAAUUGGCACUGAAGCCAGAAGAUGGAUAGUGAAAUUGGUCACAUGCAUAGACAGCUACCAAGUCCAGUGUUUAAUGGUGCCCAGUGAAGAGGAUUGAAGCACACACCAGAGAAGCAGCUGUAACUGGGUCAGAAGAAAAGUGUCAGGCUGAGACUUAGUUUUAGGUAGAAAAAUGAGCUGCUUGCCUCUACAUUAUUGGGUCAUCUCAUAAACUCAAAUGAGGGGAUCAGAAGCUGGCAGAAGGGACGGACUCAUGCUUGUUGAUCUGGAUGACCUCUGUUUCAAGGUUCCAGCAAUGAGUUAGCUUACAUUUUACAAGGUCUCCCAAAGUGAAAUGUAGUAGUCUUUACUUAGUGACAGACUAAUUUACAACUAUGUAAUUCUUUUAAGUUUGUAAUUAAAAUUUCUUCUGAAUUAUUAAUGGCUUUAUUGACAUGAUGUUAAUAAAGCCUCUCAUCUUGCUGUUAAGUAUUGUAGUGAGAAAAUCAGCUGACCUGGAAACCAUGGGGAUUGGUUCUAAUGAGCCAUAAAUGCUUCGCCUCUUCCUUCAGCACUAGUAGACUACCAGCUUUAGGCAUUUAACCAAGCGAAUUGGAGACAGAAAAUAUUAAAAUCCAGCCAUCCUAUAUCAGAUGAUGAACUCAUUUCCAGACUAACUACCCAAGAAAGCAAGUUAAACACUGUAAAAGCCUAAAACGGGGCAAGUUGGGAUUAGCUUUUAAAAUGCCUGCCUUGAAAAACACAUUAUUCUGUGAGGUUUUUUUUUUUUCUUUAAAGUUGUACAAAUUUGAUUCGGAAAAAUAGCUUAAUAGGUUUGUAUAGAGCACGGGAGAAGGGGUUGUGUGCAUAAAUGUAUGAUGAUUAUUUUAAGUGUGUGCUUCAGCAGCGACAACAAACAGAUGAAGAUACGUGAUACUGACUAAACAGGUAAUAGUUAUUUUCUAGUCUCAGUUCUUCUAGUCAAUGCCUAAAGUAUUAGAAAAAGUACUGAAACAAUUCCCAAAGCAUCAGGAAUUUCCAUUUCUAGUCAAAAUAUUGUUUGUUUUCUUCCAACAGUUCUGUUAAAUAAAAGGAAAAGUUAUAAAGUUUUAGAGAUAUAUUUAAUGUAACAGGUUAAUAAUGUGUGUAUAGAAGCCUUCUCUAACCUUGUUUGUAAAUCUACCAAACCUCACCUCAAACAAUGUUCUCCUUAAACCCAUCCUUUUUGUGCAAAGCUACUGCUUCCUGAUGUCCAUAACUCAAGGCAUUUUUUUUUUCGCUUGGUGUAGUUUCUGAAAUGUGAUUAUUUAAUGUUUGCCAAGAUGUUUGGAAUAGAGUAACUUUCAACUAAUCAAUUGAUUGUGACUUUCUUCUUUUGUAGUUUUUGUUUUUAAAAUUGCUUUCUGUCAAACCCAUCUAUAAUUCCCCCAGAAUAUAUUUAUAUGGACUAAAGGCUUACCAAAAAUAAGGAAAAUCGGAGAAACUGCCACCGCCAGGAGGAGCCAAGGGGACAUGAUGACUAAAUGUAAUCUGGUUUCAUGGAGGGGCUACCUAGAAAAAAGACAUUAAGGGAAGACUAAGGAAACUUGAAUAAAGUAUGGGCUCUCCUUAAUAAUAGUGUAACAAAUUCAUUGUAACAAAUGCCCCAUACUAAUGUAAGAUGUGAAUAAUCAGGAAAACUGGAUGCGGGACAUAUGGGAACUCCACUAUCUUCAAAAUUUUUCUGUAAAUGUAGAACUGUUCUAAAACAAUAAAGACUAUAAAAAAAAAAUAAAGACUAUUAGAAAAAAAAAAAA